UGAGUAACCUGCCCUUAACUCUGGGAUAAGCCUGGGAAACUGGGUCUAAUACCGGAUAUGACUCCUCAUCGCAUGGUGGGGGUGGAAAGCUUUUUGUGGUUUUGGAUGGACUCGCGGCCUAUCAGCUUGUUGGUGAGGUAAUGGCUCACCAAGGCGACGACGGGUAGCCGGCCUGAGAGGGCGACCGGCCACACUGGAACUGAGACACGGCCCAGACCUCCGUACGGGAGGCAG
rnacentral:rRNA from 1 species